rnacentral:rRNA from 1 species
GGGUCAGUAGGUUGGUCGUGCCACCGGUACGAACUGGUCUCACUGAUUCCUCCUUCCUGAAGAACCGUAAUGCCAUUAAUUUGGUGUUGCGGGGAAACAGGACUGUUACUUUGAAAAAAUUAGAGUGUUUAAAGCAAGCUAACGCUUGAAUACAUUAGCAUGGAAUAAUGAAAUAGGACGAUCGAUCCUAUUUUGUUGGUUUCUAGGAUUGACGUG